rnacentral:rRNA from 1 species
GAUGAACGCUGGCGGCGUGCCUAAUACAUGCAAGUCGAGCGAACAGACGAGGAGCUUGCUCCUCUGACGUUAGCGGCGGACGGGUGAGUAACACGUGGAUAACCUACCUAUAAGACUGGGAUAACUUCGGGAAACCGGAGCUAAUACCGGAUAAUAUGUUGAAUCGCAUGGUUCAACAGUGAAAGACGGUCUUGCUGUCACUUAUAGAUGGAUCCGCGCCGCAUUAGCUAGUUGGUAAGGUAACGGCUUACCAAGGCAACGAUGCGUAGCCGACCUGAGAGGGUGAUCGGCCACACUGGAACUGAGACACGGUCCAGACUCCUACGGGAGGCAGCAGUAGGGAAUCUUCCGCAAUGGGCGAAAGCCUGACGGAGCAACGCCGCGUGAGUGAAGAAGGUCUUCGGAUCGUAAAACUCUGUUAUUAGGGAAGAACAAAUGUGUAAGUAACUAUGCACGUCUUGACGGUACCUAAUCAGAAAGCCACGGCUAAUUACGUG